rnacentral:misc_RNA from 1 species
UUUCCGUAGGUGAACCUGCGGAAGGACCAUUAAUGAGUUGUCAUGGGGUUCGAUGCUGGCAGCCAAUUUUUGGAUGCAUGUGCUUGCCCUAACAAUCAUCUUCCAAACACCUGUGCACAUUUUUGAGGGAGUCUUGAGUUGGUUGCCGCUCUUGGGUGAUUUUCUCUCAUUCCCUUAAAUCAUUAUACGCUAUUAACAAUGUUGAAUGCGCUCUGUGCCGCAAGGCUAUUAAUAUAAUACAACUUUUAACAACGGAUCUCUUGGCUCUC